AUGAACGCUGGCGGCGUGCCUAAUACAUGCAAGUCGAGCGAACGGACGAGAAGCUUGCUUUUCUGAUGUUAGCGGCGGACGGGUGAGUAACACGUGGAUAACCUACCUAUAAGACUGGGAUAACUUCGGGAAACCGGAGCUAAUACCGGAUAAUAUUUUGAACCGCAUGGUUUAAAAGUGAAAGACGGUCUUGCUGUCACCUAUAGAUGGAUCCGCGCUGCAUUAGCUAGUUGGUAAGGUAACGGCUUACCAAGGCAACGAUGCAUAGCCGACCUGAGAGGGUGAUCGGCCACACUGGAACUGAGACACGGUCCAGACUCCUACGGGAGGCAGCAGUAGGGAAUCUUCCGCAAAGGGCGAAAGCCUGACGGAGCAACGCCGCGUGAGUGAUGAAGGUCUUCGGAUCGUAAAACUCUGUUAUUAGGGAAGAACAUAUGUGUAAGUAACUGUGCACAUCUUGACGUUACCUAAUCAGAAAGCCACGGCUAACUACGUG
rnacentral:rRNA from 1 species